UUGCCUGUCAGUAAACAAGAGACUUUCAGCUCUUCCCAUCAAGCUCUCAGGGCUUCAUUAUAAGCAGCCAAGAACAGGAACCAACAAGAGGAGAGGUAGAUGUGCUUCAGGAUUACUCAGAUAAUGUUUCCUACAGUUGUCAUAGAGAUGUUUUUGUGUUGGAAUGAAAUUAAGUGAAAACAAGGCUAAAGAGCAAGAUCCUGUUGGUCAGAAAGUGUGUGGGAAUUGAAGAGCUCAGCCACCCUUGCCCAGGAGAGCUGUCAGCAAACAUCUCAGAGCAGAUCACGUGUAGGGGGAUAGGGAAUCCUGUACAGCACAGGGAUCGUACACACGUGGAAUUCCUUUGGAACAGAAAGCUGCACGCUGACAGAGGAUUUGGGGCCUGCAGAAAAACCUUUACAAAGCAGCAGGGUAAAGGCAGAGUCUGAAACAGAUGCUGCUCCUGUGGCCAACAGCUGAGCAUCCUGAGGAGCUGAUUUCCUCUUGUAUUACAUGUAUGAAACCCCAAGGUUGUCACCUUGGACAAGAACAUUUGGUUUUUCUCUUUCCAGGAGAACAAAUGGGUUUUGAGAAAUAAAAACAAUCAGAGUUGCCUGAUGCUGUCCCUCAGCAUGUGGGUACUAAAGCUGGGCAGGAGUGACCCUGUCCUCUGCUGAGUGAGGGGGUGUCAGUGCUUACCUUCACAUCCACCCCCUUCUCCAGCCUGCUCUCAGGUUCUGAUUUCAGCAGCCAGUGACAAUAUGUGAUCUUGCUUUCCUCUCCACCAGACUCUGAUUCUUUUUUCUUCCAGUUCUUCCAUCCUGACUUGGAG